GCUGACGACCGGCGAACGGGUGCGUAACGCGUAUAGAAUCUGCCUUGUACAGGAGGAUAGCCUUUAGAAAUGAAGAUUAAUACUCCAUAAUGUUGAGAGAUGGCAUCAUCUUUUAAUUAAAGAUUUAUCGGUACAAGAUGACUAUGCGUCCUAUUAGCUAGAUGGUAAGGUAACGGCUUACCAUGGCAACGAUAGGUAGGGGGUCUGAGAGGAUUAUCCCCCACACUGGUACUGAGACACGGACCAGACUCCUACGGGAGGCAGCAGUGAGGAAUAUUGGUCAAUGGAGGCAACUCUGAACCAGCCAUGCCGCGUGCAGGAAGACUGCCCUAUGGGUUGUAAACUGCUUUUAUACAGGAAGAAACUUAGUUACGUGUAACUAACUGACGGUACUGUAAGAAUAAGCACCGGCUAACUCCGUGCCAGCAGCCGCGGUAAUACGGAGGGUGCAAGCGUUAUCCGGAAUCAUUGGGUUUAAAGGGUCCGCAGGCGGUCAAUUAAGUCAGAGGUGAAAUCCCAUAGCUUAACUAUGGAACUGCCUUUGAUACUGGUUGACUUGAGUUAU
rnacentral:rRNA from 1 species